rnacentral:rRNA from 1 species
ACGGGAGGCAGCAGUGGGGAAUAUUGGACAAUGGAGGCAACUCUGAUCCAGCGACGCCGCGUGAGUGAAGAAGUAUUUCGGUAUGUAAAGCUCUAUCAGCAGGGAAGAUAAUGACGGUACCUGACUAAGAAGCCCCGGCUAACUACGUGCCAGCAGCCGCGGUAAUACGUAGGGGGCAAGCGUUAUCCGGAUUUACUGGGUGUAAAGGGAGCGUAGGCGGCCAGACAAGUCAGAUGUGAAAACCCGGGGCUCAACUCCGGGACUGCAUUUGAAACUGCCAGGCUUGAGUGCAGGAGAGGCAAGUGGAAUUCCUAGUGUAGCGGUGAAAUGCGUAGAUAUUAGGAGGAACACCAGUGGCGAAGGCGGCUUACUGGACUGUAACUGACGUUGAGGCUCGAAAGCGUGGGGAGCAAACAGGAUUAGAUACCCUGGUA